AUUGAACGCUGGCGGCAUGCCUUACACAUGCAAGUCGAACGGUAACGGGCCUUCGGGUGCCGACGAGUGGCGAACGGGUGAGUAAUACAUCGGAACGUGCCCGAUCGUGGGGGAUAACGAGGCGAAAGCUUUGCUAAUACCGCAUACGAUCUACGGAUGAAAGCCGGGGACCGCAAGGCUUUGCGCGGACGGAGCGGCCGAUGGCAGAUUAGGUAGUUGGUGGGUUAAAAGCUUACCAAGCCGACGAUCUGUAGCUGGUCUGAGAGGAUGAUCGGCCACACUGGGACUGAGACACGGCCCAGACUCCUACGGGAGGCAGCAGUGGGGAAUUUUGGACAAUGGGCGCAAGCCUGAUCCAGCCAUGCCGCGUGCAGGAUGAAGGCCUUCGGGUUGUAAACUGCUUUUGUACGGAACGAAAAGCCUUCUUUUAAUACAGGAGGGUCAUGACGGUACCGUAAGAAUAAGCACCGGCUAACUACGUG
rnacentral:rRNA from 1 species